UCCCUGGUGAUCCAGUGGCUAAGGUGUUUCACUGCCAAUGCAGGGGGCCAAGGUUCAGUUCCUGGUCAGGGAA
rnacentral:tRNA from 1 species